AUCGAGUGUGAGUAGAGUGGCGGACGGGUGAGUAACGCGUGGGAAUCUACCCAGUAGUGGGGGACAACUACCGGAAACGGUANCUAAUACCGCAUACGCCCUAUGGGGGAAAGGCUUCGGCCGCUAUUGGAUGAGCCCGCGUCAGAUUAGCUAGUUGGUAGGGUAAAGGCCUACCAAGGCAACGAUCUGUAGCUGGUCUGAGAGGACGAACAGCCACACUGGGACUGAGACACGGCCCANACUCCUACGGGAGGCAGCAGUGGGGAAUAUUGGACAAUGGGCGAAAGCCUGAUCCAGCAAUGCCGCGUGUGUGAAGAAGGCCUGCGGGUUGUAAAGCACUUUCAGUUGGNAAGAUGAUGACGUUACCAACAGAAGAAGCACCGGCUAAAUCCGUGCCAGCAGCCGCGGUAAUACGGAUGGUGCGAGCGUUAAUCGGAAUUACUGGGCGUAAAGCGCGCGUAGGCGGCUAAGUCAGUCAGAAGUGAAAGCCCCGGGCUCAACCUGGGAAUUGCUUUUGAUACUGCUUAGCUAGAGUUUGGUAGAGGAUAGUGGAAUUCCAGGUGUAGCGGUGAAAUGCGUAGAUAUCUGGAGGAACAUCAGUGGCGAAGGCUACUGUCUGGACCAAAACUGACGCUGAGGUGCGAAAGUGUGGGGAGCAAACAGGAUUAGAUACCCUGGUAG
rnacentral:rRNA from 1 species